rnacentral:lncRNA from 1 species
AUAAAAUGACACGUUUAGGUUGGCUCUGGAGUGAAUCUACACACAGUUUAUUCAGAAUGUUUGGGUUCUUUGCAGCCGCCCUACUCACUCAUUCAUUCAUUUAUUCACUCAUUCAUUUGUUCAUCCGUCCAUUUGGUUCCUAUGCUGUGCCAGACGCUCUGCUGGGCACUGGAUGUGUAAAGAUCAGAAAACACGGCACCUCUGCAAAGAAGCUCACAGGCCAGUGACGAAAAUAGUCCUUUGUACAAUUAUAAAGCAGUGACAGGGAUGUCUCAAGGGCUUUAUGGGAGCACAGAUGAUGGAGUCUGUUAUGGGUUAAAAUGUAUGCCCCCGAAUUCAGAUGUCGACUCUCUACCAUCCAGGAGCUCAGAAUAUGACCUUGUGCAGAGACAAGAUCUUCAGUGACGUCAUCAAGUUAAAAACGAGGCCGUUAGGAGCUGGCUUCAUUCAAUAUGGCUGGUGUCUCCGUGGGCCAUGUGGGGACGGCGGCGGAGACUGGGGCGAAGCUCCUACACGCCCACGGAACGGCACCAGACCACGCCGGAACACCGCCGGAAGCCGGAAGCCGGAAGGUGUAAUAACACGCAGGCACGCAGCCGACUGCUCCUCGCGGUCCUCACCAGGGCCCUUCCGGGAGCUGCCGGGAGGAGCGUCAGAGAGGGCUUCCGGGAGGAGAGGACCCGGCAGCAAGUUGUCAGGGAAAGGGGGCGCGGUGUGAUCUCAGAAUGGCCUGCCGCACCCGGGAAGAGCACACACCUUCCUCACAACAGGAAGACUGCUAACAAAAAGGCUUUUGCCCAGCCGCUGCGUUCGAGAAAAUCCGGCUAUUUAAUAGGUGAGAAGCAGUUCCUGUAAGCACCGCCUGGGGAUCUGUGCUCCGGCCUCUCACGUGACUCUGUGGGGUUUUGGUCUAAAUUUCCCACCUCUGGUACACAUCUCAAAGGGUUCUGUUCUGGGAGCAUAUGGCCCGAAAGGCGCAAAGAUUUAUUCUGCCUAAGAAAGAAGAUUUUGUUUUGUUUUGUUUUAAUGUCAACCCACCUUUUAUAUCAUCUUUAAAAAUUCUGGUGCUCCGGAGCACAGAUCAGGCCAUUCACCCCAGGGGAGCUUUAAAUUGAAGACAUUUGUAAUCUUUUUCUUUUAGGUUUCUUUAGAAUUUAACCUAAAAUAAAUAUGAUAGCUCGGUGAUACUAAAAUGUAAUGGCCCUUGCCUUUAUAUACUAGACUGAAAAUCGUACUUGAAUCGUUCGGGAAGUAUCCUAGUUAGGAGUAACACACGUUUCUUUUGGGAAUGGAAGAGCUGCCUUGUAAUCUGGGUGGGUCUCCUUAAUUUUUUAAAAAUUAGCACUGUUACAUAUAUAAGAGAAAUGCUUAAAAUCUAGUACUCUGUCUGCAGAAUUAAAUGGCCCAUACACAUGCAUAAUUGCAAAUAUUAAAGAUUUCCUUAAUUUUUAAAAUUAUUUUAUUUUAUUAUUUUUUUAAGAUUUUAUUUAUUUUUCAACAGAGAGAGAGACAGCGAGAGAGGGAACACAAGCAGGGGGAGUGGAAGAGAGAGAAGCAGGCUUCCUGCUGAGCAGAGAGCCCAGUGCGGUACUUGAUCCCAGGACCCCGGGAUCAUGACCUGAGCCGAAGGCAGGUGCUUCACGACUGAGCUACCCAGGCGCCCCUAAAGAUUUUAUUUAUUUAUUUAUUUG